rnacentral:lncRNA from 1 species
GGAAAUAAACAUAGGAGGGCACAGAGGGUGGAGGUUGAAGAUAGUGGAGGCUUUUAUAAUCAUACUCACAUUCACACAAUUGUUGUACGUGUUGCUGAUACACGCAGGUCUAUAUAGCAGCAGAUAUGGUCCCGGCUACCGUGACAAUGACUAUCCUAUGGGAGCGACUACAGGAGAUCCAAUGCACAAGCCUGCGCCUGUUCCUGCUACUGCAACUCGUGUCUAAACUCCACUUCGCCUCUUCCAUCAUCUUCUGCUUUACCUUUCUGCCUUUUCUUUUUUCCUUUUUCUUUCCAUGCCUAGAGUAACGCCUUUACCUUUGUUUUUUUUCAUGUCAAAAGUCCCUUUCUACCAUCACAUUCUGUAUAUCAAUCAAUGCAUCUAAUGGCUUUAGUAAAUUUAUCAAAUAAUUUAUGACUCUCGCAAUCCUGGUGAAAAUUGAAAAUUAUUAAAGAGUAUCAUAUGAAUAAUAUAGAUUAAAAUGCAUA